rnacentral:rRNA from 1 species
UACGGAGGGUGCAAGCGUUAUCCGGAUUCACUGGGUUUAAAGGGUGCGUAGGCGGGCAGGUAAGUCCGUGGUGAAAUCUCUGAGCUUAACUCAGAAACUGCCAUGGAUACUAUUUGUCUUGAAUAUUGUGGAGGCAAGCGGAAUAUGUCAUGUAGCGGUGAAAUGCUUAGAUAUGACAUAGAACACCCAUUGCGAAAGGCAGCUUGCUACACAAUGAUUGACGCUGAGGCACGAAAGCGUGGGAUCAAACAGG